rnacentral:lncRNA from 1 species
AAUAUGACCUCCUGCGGUUUAGUAUAUUUUCAGUUUAGUAUUCUAUAAUUUGAAACAUUUCGCUUUGUUAUUCAAUAAUUUUAUUUUUAUCUUACUGUUAAGACUUGUCAUUAUGUAGAGUACUAAAAUGAUAAAAUUUAUAAAUCACAAGAUAAUAAAUUAAUAUAUUUUACAAAUCACAUGAUGAUAAAUAAUAGUAUUUUACCAACCUAUAUUUUCAUAUAGCUACUUUGUGAUCUGUAAAAUAUAUCAAUUUUGUACUCUAUUUAACGGCACGUCAUAACAGUAAGAUAAGAAUAGAAAAGUAAAA